CCACACUGGAACUGAGACACGGUCCAGACUCCUACCGAGCAGUAGGGAAUCUUCCGCAAUGGGCGAAAGCCUGACGGAGCAACGCCGCGUGAGUGAUGAAGGUCUUCGGAUCGUAAAACUCUGUUGUUAGGGAAGAACAAAUUUGUUAGUAACUGAACAAGUCUUGACGGUACCUAACCAGAAAGCCACGGCUAACUACGUGCCAGCAGCCGCGGUAAUACGUAGGUGGCAAGCGUUAUCCGGAAUUAUUGGGCGUAAAGCGCGCGUAGGCGGUUUCUUAAGUCUGAUGUGAAAGCCCACGGCUCAACCGUGGAGGGUCAUUGGAAACUGGGAAACUUGAGUGCAGAAGAGGAGAGUGGAAUUCCAUGUGUAGCGGUGAAAUGCGCAGAGAUAUGGAGGAACACCAGUGGCGAAGGCGGCUCUCUGGUCUGUAACUGACGCUGAUGUGCGAAAGCGUGGGGAUCAAACAGGAUUAGAUACCCUGGUAGUCCACGCCGUAAACGAUGAGUGCUAAGUGUUAGGGGGUUUCCGCCCCUUAGUGCUGCAGCU
rnacentral:rRNA from 1 species